GACGAACGCUGGCGGCGUGCUUAAUACAUGCAAGUCGAACGGAAAGGCCCGGCGUUUGUGGGGUUCUCGAUAGGCGAACGGGUGAGUAACACGUGAGUAACCUGCCCUUGACUUUCGGAUAACUUUAGGAAACUGGGGCUAAUACCGGGUAGGAGCUCCUGCUGCACGGGGGGGGUUGGAAAGUUUCGGCGGUUGUGGAUGGACUCGCGGCUUAUCAGCUAGUUGGUGGGGUAGGGGCUUACCAAGGCUUUGACGGGUACCCGGCCUGAGAGGGUGACCGGCCACAUUGGGACUGAGAUACGGCCCAGACUCCUACGGGAGGCAGCAGUGGAGAAUAUUGCACAAUGGGCGGAAGCCUGAUGCAGCAACGCCGCGUGCGGGAUGACGGCCUUCGGGUUGUAAACCGCUUUCGCCUGUGACGAAGCGUGAGUGACGGUAAUGGGUAAAGAAGCACCGGCUAACUACGUG
rnacentral:rRNA from 1 species